UGGAACGAAGUUUCUUUAAGAAAUCAAUUUCGCUUGGGCUUAAAUGAAUCCCUAAAAGAUGAACUUGCUAGAUUAGACUUACCUGUAUCCUUAGAUGCCCUAUAUGAUUUAGCAAUAAAAUUAGAUAGGAGAUAUAGGGAAAGAAGGGUUGAGAAACUUUCUUAUGAGUCAUCUAGCAAAAGAUACAACAGUAUUCCUAACCCUGCUCCAGCCACAUCUACUGAAACACCUAUGGAUUUAGGGGUAUUACGUGGACCCCUAACUCAAGAGGAGAAGAAUAGAAGGAGAUUGAAUCAUCUCUGCAUGUAUUGUGGUUCUAAAGAACAUAUUCUGAGAGACUGCCCUAAUCUUCUAAAACAGAAGUCAGUGGGAUCAAAGACGACUGAAUAUUGAGGCCAUCGUGGAUACUGGGGCAACUGGUUGUUAUAUAGACAUAAGUUUAAUUGAAAAAAAUAAAAUACCACAUAUAGCAAAAGAAAAA